AGUGAACGCUGGCGGUAGGCCUAACACAUGCAAGUCGAACGGCAGCACAGUAAGAGCCUGCUCUUACGGGUGGCGAGUGGCGGACGGGUGAGGAAUACAUCGGAAUCUACUUUUUCGUGGGGGAUAACGUAGGGAAACUUACGCUAAUACCGCAUACGACCUACGGGUGAAAGCAGGGGAUCUUCGGACCUUGCGCGAUUGAAUGAGCCGAUGUCGGAUUAGCUAGUUGGCGGGGUAAAGGCCCACCAAGGCGACGAUCCGUAGCUGGUCUGAGAGGAUGAUCAGCCACACUGGAACUGAGACACGGUCCAGACUCCUACGGGAGGCAGCAGUGGGGAAUAUUGGACAAUGGACGCAAGCCUGAUCCAGCCAUACCGCGUGGGUGAAGAAGGCCUUCGGGUUGUAAAGCCCUUUUGUUGGGAAAGAAAAGCAGCAGGUUAAUACCCCGCUGUUCUGACGGUACCCAAAGAAUAAGCACCGGCUAACUUCGUG
rnacentral:rRNA from 1 species